UUUGCCAGCCUGAUGUCACUGUAACUCUUUGUGACUGAUCUGUGAGCCAGUUGCUCAUCCAAUGCGUAACACAGUUAUCCAGUUCUACACUGGACAUUUUGCCCAGAAGGAUACUGUGAAAAACCAUAUGAAAAGCUUACCUGAAGUCCAAAAAGAUUACAUCUACUAGCUUUCCUAGAUCAAGCAGGAAGUGCAAGUCAUCUCAACUACGAUGCUACAAAAG